AGAGUUUGAUCAUGGCUCAGAUUGAACGCUGGCGGCAGGCCUAACACAUGCAAGUCGAACGGUAACAGGAAGAAGCUUGCUUCUUUGCUGACGAGUGGCGGACGGGUGAGUAAUGUCUGGGAAACUGCCUGAUGGAG
rnacentral:rRNA from 4 species